UACAGAGGGUGCAAGCGUUGUUCGGAAUUAUUGGGCGUAAAGCGCGUGUAGGCGGCCGUGCAAGUCGGGUGUGAAAGCCCUCGGCUCAACCGAGGAAGUGCGCCCGAAACUGCAUGGCUUGAGUACCGGAGAGGAUGGCGGAAUUCCCCAAGUAGAGGUGAAAUUCGUAGAUAUGGGGGAGGAACACCGGUGGCGAAGGCGGCCACCUGGACGGAUACUGACGCUGAGAAGCGAAAGCAUGGGGAGCGAACAGG
rnacentral:rRNA from 1 species